GGGGCCAGGUUUGGGGAGCGCCGGAGGAAGAGUUGGGUCUGGGGCGGGGUAUGCCGAGGACCCAGGCGGGGGUGGGGUGGGUGGCGGGGGUGAAGUAGGUACGAGAGGUGUUGGGGCCGGAUUCUGAGAUGUGAGUAUAGGAAGGGAAGACAGAAAAAGGAUCACGUGGAACUGUAGCAUUGGUUUGUUAACACACCUGCCUCUUCAUGAGGGCGGGGGCACGACUUUAAUUUGCAUCUCUAGACUAACAGAACUUGUAGGAGUCGCAGGAACUGUUUGUGGAGACCAUUGCAAAAGAUGCCUACUGUUGUGCUCAGCAAGGGAAAAGGAAGACCCUUCAGAGGAGAGAUCUGGAUAAUGCAAUAGAAGCUGUGGAUGAAUUUGCUUUUCUGGAAGGGGGUGCUGGCAGCUGUCAUCUUCGUAGGAGGGCAGGCUGGACGUGGAGCGGCGAGAGCCAGAGGCAGGUGUGAGCCAGGUCUUCUCUGUUGCUCAGUUGCCAGCACCACCCUGUUAGGGGUUGUGUCACAUCUUAAAUUGUUGGAGCAAAAGCCCUGAGAGUAGGGUGUGAGCUGAUUCUGUUCUCUUUGAGUGUGUGCUCUUGCCCCUCCCAGCGUUGGCACCUUUGCCCCAGAAGGGAGACGUGCUGGAACCCGAGGACUGGAUUGGGCUCCCCGUGGAGGCUGGGGCCCAUGCUUGGGUGGUCCCAGCACCAGUCAGCUACAGACUGCUCUUGAUCUGCUGCCCCAUGAUCAAUAGUAAUGGGUGCUCUUUCCCCAUUUGGAUGCUCUGCCAGGCUUCAGUCAGCUCUGUCCUCCACAACUCUGUACUUUUCUCGGCAACAUUAGCCUUUGCCCUAGUGGCGAACAGUGCUGCAGAGCAAGAGGGGCUGGAGUGGGCACUUGGUGUCGGCUGGGGUGCUCUCUGGCGUGGUCCUGACAGCAGCUGGAGCUCCAGAUCACUCCUGAUUGCAGCCCUGUGACCGCCAGCUCUGUCCCUCACCGGCAGGCGCUCUCCUCAGCUGCAGCAUCCGUUGCCCUAGGGUGGAGCGGCUCUGGAGCACGGCGGGCCGGGGCAUGCACUGCGUGGUCACGGGAAAUCAGCUAGAAUGCUGGGCAGUUGCAGGCGGCUUCCUCUGCCUUGUUCCAGGAAUUAGCAAGCGUGUGCGGGUCCUGACCUGACUGCUUCUCAUCCCUUCCUACCCAGCUGUCUGUGGAGCCUUUCUACAGCCUUGGUGUUACAGGCAUCUUUCUGCGAGUCUCCAGUUAGUGCUCAGUGAGGAUUUCUCUACAUGUAGAUGUAUUUUUGAUGUGUUGUUGAGGGGAGGUGAGCUCUUUGUCCUCCUAUUCAACUGUCUUGAUUCCCUCUCUCAUAAUUAGAUUAUUUUUAAAAUUUUAGGCUGAUUAUCUCUAAGCACUUAAUUCAUUUACAUUUAGUGUAAUUAAUGAUGUAUAAAUGCAUCCUCUUAUUUUGUGCUUUCUAUUUGUCCUUGUUUUAUGGGUUUUUUUUUUGCCUUUUUUUUGAGGAUAAUUCAUUCCGUUUUUAACUCUUAUCAAUUUGAACUUUCUACAUUCUAGUUUUUAAAAAAUUGGUACUACAUGCAUCCUUAAUGUGUGAGAGCCUAGUGUUGGUACCUUUCCCUUCAUCCUCAGCAAAAUAGGAUCUUAGAAUUCAAUGAGCUCAAUUUACAAGUCCCUCAUCCCCGACUCAUGCUGUUACUGUUACCCGUUUUAUGUUGUCUUUCUCAACCCACGUAAGGCAUUAUUACCGCUGUAGUAUACUGGCGAUGUUGUGUGAACUUAACCACAUGUUUAUGCUGUCUUUGCUCCUCUUUCCUUUUUUAUGUUUCUUCUCCAUUUUUGAUCACUUUCUUUCUUUGUGAUGUAAAUCCUUGGUUUUACAGGAUCUGCUGGUAGCAAACUCUACUUUUUUUUGUGUGUGUGUGAAAACCUUUUAUUUUCUUUAUUUAAAGAUAUUUUUGCUGAACAUAGAAUUCUAGGUGAAACUUUAUUUCUUUUAGCACAUCGAAGUGAUCAUUCUUCUCUUUUUUUGGCUUCUGUUGUUUCUGUUGAAGCUAAUUUGUUCCCCUUUUUUCUGUCUGCUUUUAAGAUUUUUCUGUCUUUGAUUUUUUUCUGUAGCUUCACUCUGAUGUAUUUAGGUGUUGAUUCGCUUUUCCGUAGUCUGCUUAGGUUUCUUAAAUCUAUGGAUUGAUGGCUUUCGUCUGUCCUGGAGAGGUCUCAGCCAGUAUCUUUUCAGAUGUUGACUCUGUUUUGUUCCUUCUCUCUUGGAUUCCUAUUAAAAUAUGCUAAAAGUCAACCAUAAUUUUGCCUUUCCAUGACACAUUCUGUGUAAUUUUUCUGACCUUCCAGUUUAUUAUCUCUCUUCUGUGGUCUUGUCUCCUUUAAUCUUUUCCUGUUGAUUUAUUAGUUUCAGUCCUUGUUUUUGUAUUUUUCAGUUUUUGUGAAUUUCGUUUAGUUUUCAAAUCUAUUUUGUCAUUUUUUUAUUAUUUGUAUUUGCUGCACAUGUUCUAAGGCUUGUAUUUUCUUAAACAUAACAGGUACAAUUGUUUAUAGUCUGUGUCCAAGCUAAUGUCCAAAGCCUUUUAAGGUUGGUUGAUUGAUUUAUUUUUCUCUCUGUUGUUUCUGUUGGUAUUGUCUCAUGGUCUUUCUUUCCCUGUAUGCCUAGUUAUCUUGGUAUAUUUUUCACUGUAUUUGAAAAAAUAAUUUGUUGGAUAAUUUGAGGCCUGCAUAAUGAGACCUUUCUCCAAACAAGGUGCUCAUUUGCUUCUGCAAGGCACCUCGGGGCAUGUAUCAGUGCAGGACCUCCUUUGCAAAUCCAGGACUUGAGGAUUCCUUUAUCAUUGUGAUGAUAAAAAAACCCCGAUGGCAGGUCUGUGAGGGGGUCAUUUAAUUCUAGCUCUACCUUACUCUGAGGGUGUAGCCUUUUGGGAAUCGAGCUUUUAAAAAGGGGGCAGUUAAUCAGAACUUCUUACUUGAGCACAUUCUCUGAUUUGACUCUUGAUUUGCUCAGCCUGCCAAAAUCACAGCACAAUUUCUUGAGCUUUCUUUUGGAUUGGCAGAUUCCCUCGGGUUAAAAGCAGUUUCCAAGGUUGGGUUUUCUUUGUGUUGCGUUACCUUCUCCAGAUUUUGCAUUUGCCUUUCCUUGAGGCCUCUUUAAUGCCUGAAGGAUUUUUCUUUUUAAAAAUAUUUUAAUCAGCUGUAUCAGUUGGUCUCAGCAGGAAUUUGCCAUUAUCAGAAGCAGGGACUAUUAAAACGUUUGUUGAGGUAUUUCUGUUUUGGUUUGUUGUUUAAUUUAGUUCUGUUUUUUUUUUCCCCUGAAUUAUUCUAGGGUUUUUGUUUGUUUGUUUUUUUAGUUUUAAGUAAGUUUUAGUCUCUCCUUGUCCUCAAUAGACUUUCUUCAAAUGCCUUAUAAUUUUUAUUCUAUUUUAGAAUGAGGGAAUAAGAACGCUGUUUGUUUGGAAGCUGUGUAUGUAUGGAGAGUGAAUUUUGUCUUGUGAUUUUACCUUAGUGUGGCUGGGAUGGGGCCAGAUGUUACAUUGGGAGCCUCCAAAUGCUAGAAUGUGGAAAACUUGACUGCGGGGUGCUGCAGUUUUCAGAAGCUGCUCUGGUUCUCCGGAUAAUUCAUUUAGUUCUUUAGAAGAGAGCCCUCUGAUUUGGUUUUCAAGUUAGGUUUAGUUUGUUUGUUUGUUUACAUUAUUUUAUUUUAAAUGGAGGUACUGGGGAUUGAACCCAGGACCUUGUACAUACUAAGCACUCACUCUGCCAUUGAGCUACACCUUCCCCCCAAAGUUAGGUUUAGUUUAAAGGCUUGUUUUCUGGUAGGGCUGCAUGCGGGGAGGGUUAUGGUGAGAUGGGGUCAACUGUUUCUCAUACAGACACUUGAGUCAUUAUUCAUUUUGGCCUUGCGUCUCUGUCAUUUUUGGUGUCUUGAGUCUUGAGCCUCCUCGUGAAUUUCCUGGGUAGAUGGGCCCCCAUCUCUGCUGCAGUCCCCUCUGUGUUUAUUUGAGGCUCAUUUUCCUCCGCUUUAUUUAUAAACGUACUUCAGUCUGAUUUCUAUCAUUCAGCUUUUUGUUGAACUCUGUUAACUGCUGAUGGGCCCCCAUUCUUUAUUGUAGAUUUAUAUACCUUUUAAAAGAUUCUUUUUCCUUUCAUGGGAGGUCAUACAGACUUGUGGGUUCAGCCUCCCAUCUUGAACUGAAACUUUUUCCAAAGUUUAUAAACUCUGCUUAGAGAACUUCCCUCAUU